GAAACCUUAGUACGGCGAGUGAAGCGGUAAAAGCUCAAAUUUGAAAUCUGGUACUUUCAGUGCCCGAGUUGUAAUUUGUAGAAUUUGUCUUUGAUUAGGUCCUUGUCUAUGUUCCUUGGAACAGGACGUCAUAGAGGGUGAGAAUCCCGUUUGGCGAGGAUACCUUUUCUCUGUAAGACUUUUUCGAAGAGUCGAGUUGUUUGGGAAUGCAGCUCAAAGUGGGUGGUAAAUUCCAUCUAAAGCUAAAUAUUGGCGAGAGACCGAUAGCGAACAAGUACAGUGAUGGAAAGAUGAAAAGAACUUUGAAAAGAGAGUGAAAAAGUACGUGAAAUUGUUGAAAGGGAAGGGCAUUUGAUCAGACAUGGUGUUUUUUGCAUGCACUCGCCUCUCGUGGGCUUGGGCCUCUCAAAAAUUUCACUGGGCCAACAUCAGUUCUGGCAGCAGGAUAAAUCAUUAAGAAUGUAGCUACCUCGGUAGUGUUAUAGCUUAUUGGAAUACUGCUAGCUGGGAUUGAGGACUGCGCUUCGGCAAGGAUGUUGGCAUAAUGGUUAAAUGCCGCCCGUCUUGAACCACGGACC
rnacentral:rRNA from 1 species